rnacentral:rRNA from 1 species
AUUGAACGCUGGCGGCAUGCUUUACACAUGCAAGUCGAACGGUAACAGGCCUUCGGGUGCUGACGAGUGGCGCACGGGUGCGUAAUGCAUCGGAACGUGCCCAGAGGUGGGGGAUAACGCAGCGAAAGCUGUGCUAAUACCGCAUGUGAUCUGAGGAUGAAAGCGGGGGACCAGGCAGCAAUGUUUGGCCUCGCGCCUUUGGAGCGGCCGAUGUCAGAUUAGGUAGUUGGUGGGGUAAAGGCCUACCAAGCCGACGAUCUGUAGCUGGUCUGAGAGGACGACCAGCCACACUGGGACUGAGACACGGCCCAGACUCCUACGGGAGGCAGCAGUGGGGAAUUUUGGACAAUGGGCGCAAGCCUGAUCCAGCAAUGCCGCGUGCGGGAAGAAGGCCUUCGGGUUGUAAACCGCUUUUGUACGGAACGAAAAGGCUCUGGCUAAUACCUGGGGCUGAUGACGGUACCGUAAGAAUAAGCACCGGCUAACUACGUG